rnacentral:rRNA from 1 species
AUGCGAGUCGAGAGGGGUUAAGCCCUCGGCAUACUGCUCAGUAACACGUGGAUAACCUGCCCUCAAGACGGGGAUAACCCCGGGAAACUGGGGAUAAUACUCGAUAGGUUAUGGUUCCUGGAAUGGUCCAUAGCUCAAAUGCGUUAGCGCUUGAGGAUGGGUCUGCGCCUGAUUAGGUUGUUGCCGGUGUGACGUACCGGCAAGCCGAUAAUCAGUACGGGCUGUGAAAGCAGGAGCCCGGAGAUGGAUUCUGAGACAUGAAUCCAGGCCCUACGGGGCGCAGCAGGCGCGAAACCUUCACACUGCGCGAAAGCGCGAUGAGGGGACCUCGAGUGUCGGUGCCAAGCAUCGACUGUCCCGCUGCCUAAAAAGCAGUGGUUAGCAAGGGCCGGGCAAGACCGGUGCCAGCCGCCGCGGUAACACCGGCGGCUCGAGUGGUGACCAUUUUUAUUGAGCUUAAAGGGUCCGUAGCCGGUCUGGUAACUCUCUUGGGAAAUCUGGCGGCUUAACCGUCAGGCGUCCGGGGGAAACUGCCAGACUUGGGAGCGGGGGAGGUUGGAGGUACUCCAGGGGUAGAGGUGAAAUUCUGUAAUCCUUGGGGGACCACCAGUGGCGAAGGCGUCCAACCAAAACGCGUCCGACGGUGAGGGACGAAAGCCAGGGGCACGAACCGGAUUAGAUACCCGGGUAGUCCUGGCCGUAAACGAUGCGGGCUAGGUGUCACAGUGGCUACGAGCCACUGUGGUGCCGUAGAGAAAUCGUGAAGCCUGCCGCUUGGGAAGUACGGCCGCAAGGCUGAAACUUGAAGGAAUUGGCGGGGGAGCACUACAACGGGUGGAGCCUGCGGUUUAAUUGGAUUCAACGCCGGGAAGCUUACCGGGUGCGACAGCUGGAUGAAGGCCAGGCUAAAGACCUUGCUGGACUAGCUGAGAGGAGGUGCAUGGCCGUCGUCAGUUCGUACUGUGAAGCGUCCUGUUAAGUCAGGCAACGAACGAGACCCACGCCCAUUGUUGCCAGCGCGCCCUCAGGGGUGGCGGGUACACGGUGGGGACCGCUGGUGCUAAACCAGAGGAAGGAAUGGGUAACGGUAGGUCAGUACGCCCCGAAUCUCCCGGGCUACACGCGUGCUACAAUGGUUGGGACAAUGGGUAUCAACCCCGAAAGGGGAAGGAAAUCUCCUAAACCCAACCUUAGUUCGGAUUGGGGGCUGCAACUCGCCCCCAUGAAGAUGGAAUCCGUAGUAAUCGCAACUCAAAAUGUUGCGGUGAAUACGUCCCUGCUCCUUGCACACACCGCCCGUCAAACCACCCGAGUAUGGCCUCGAUGAG